GCACACUUGCCUCCAUCAAUCUGC
rnacentral:siRNA from 1 species